rnacentral:rRNA from 1 species
CACGUAGGAGGCAAACGUUAUCCGGAUUUACUGGGCGUAAAGCGCGUGUAGGUGGUUCUGUAAGUAGGGCGUGAAAGCUCCCGGCUCAACUGGGAGAGGCCGUUCUAAACUGCAGAGCUAGAGGAUGGUAGAGGGAGGUGGAAUUCCAGGUGUAGCGGUGGAAUGCGCAGAUAUCGGAGGAACACCGUGGCGAGGCGGCGUUUCUGGCGAGUACUGACGCUCAUGCGCGAAAGCUGGGGUAGCGAACCGGAUUAGAUACCCGCGGUAGUCCCU